GGUUAAGCGACUAAGCGUACACGGUGGAUGCCCUGGCAGUCAGAGGCGAUGAAGGGCGUGCUAAUCUGCGAUAAGCGCCGGUAAGGUGAUAUGAACCGUUAUAACCGGCGAUACCCGAAUGGGGAAACCCAGUGUGACUCGUCACACUAUCAUUAACUGAAUCCAUAGGUUAAUGAGGCGAACCGGGGGAACUGAAACAUCUAAGUACCCCGAGGAAAAGAAAUCAACCGAG
rnacentral:rRNA from 1 species